UACGUAGGGACCAAGCGUUGUUCGGAUUUACUGGGCGUAAAGAGCUCGUAGGCGGUCUGUCGCGUCGAAUGUGAAAACCCGGGGCUCAACCCCGGGCCUGCAUUCGAUACGGGCAGACUAGAGUUCGGUAGGGGAGUCUGGAAUUCCUGGUGUAGCGGUGAAAUGCGCAGAUAUCAGGAGGAACACCGGUGGCGAAGGCGGGACUCUGGGCCGAUACUGACGCUGAGGAGCGAAAGCGUGGGGAGCGAACAGG
rnacentral:rRNA from 1 species